GGACACGCAUCUCGUCCUCUGUGGACAAGCGUGCAGGCAUACACACACACUCGCCGCGCACGGCGGACAGCAGUAAGGUCACAGGCAAGGUCUGACACGCGCCCCAUCCCCCCACGGGCCCUCGCCCCGCCCUCCCCAGCCCGGCUCCUCCCGUGGGAGCGGAAGCGGCGGGCAGCGGGUGUCCUGAGGCCGAGGAUUCAGCGGAAACGGAGCGGCGAGAGGCGAGAGGCGGAGAGGCUACGGAGGGAGGCCGGCCCCGGGGCUGCGAGAAGGGGCGGACCUGGGCCCCAGCCCCGCACACCCGGGGUCCGCAGGCGCGAACCGCACACGCGCGCAGCACAACCCGCAACCCGCGGCCGCAGCGCCAGGUGCGCACCUGCGGCCGACGCUCCGUGCGCUCCGGGGUCCCGCACCCGCGCGCGGCGGCCUCGCUCCACUCGCCCUGCACCCACCCCAGGACACCCCAGCGCGGCCCCAGCGUGUCCCCCGCUCAGCGGACACCUGCCACCAGGUGCGCAGCCCUCCCCACCGCCCGCACCGUCCGCCGGGACACAUCCCCCCAACCCCGCAGGCUCACUCUACAGUGACACAGACCCUGCAGAGUCCCCAGCGACGCCCACGGGCCCCUCACACACGCCUUCCCCCGCCCCACACUCGCCUUUCGGGGCGACACUCCCACGUCUCCGCCCCGCCACCCUCAGCCCCCGGGAGACCGCCGCCGCCACCCUCGCGGGUGCGCCCCUCCCGCCCGCUCCCGGCCCCUCUCGGGCCCCGCUGGGUACCUCUACCGGGCGUGCGGCGGGGUCCGGGGCCGCCCGGGCUCUCCCACGUGGCGGGGGGCCCGCUGCGACGCGACUGAGCUCGGGCCCCCGGCCCCCGGCAGCCGGACACGUGCGGAGCCGCCCGCGCUUCCGCUGCCAGUGUCUCCCGGCGCCCGCGACGGCCCCGGCCCCGGCCCGGGUGAUGCAAACCUGGGCUAAUCGGCCGCCGCCUGAUGCGCUCAGGCCCGGGAUUGCACCAUCCCCGGGAGCCCCGCCCCCGCGCGCCCCGCCCCGCCCCGCCCCGCCCCUCUCGCCUCACCCGGCCUCCAGGGGUGCCUGGGCUCCGCCUCCUCCCCCACCGGCCCCGCGCAGACCACCCCCGCUGCCUCUCCCUAUCGCUUUGGAAAGAGCUUUUCUGAGCCUCAGUUUACCCGUACGUGAAAUGAGGGAGAACAUCCUUCCAUCUCAGGAUGCAGAGGAGAAAAAGAGCAAACUGUGA
rnacentral:lncRNA from 12 species